rnacentral:rRNA from 1 species
UAAUACAGAGGGUGCGAGCGUUAAUCGGAAUUACUGGGCGUAAAGCGCGCGUAGGCGGUUUGUUAAGUCGGAUGUGAAAUCCCCGGGCUCAACCUGGGAAUUGCAUUCGAUACUGGCAAGCUAGAGUAUGGGAGAGGAAGGUAGAAUUCCAGGUGUAGCGGUGAAAUGCGUAGAGAUCUGGAGGAAUACCGAUGGCGAAGGCAGCCUUCUGGCCUAAUACUGACGCUGAGGUGCGAAAGCAUGGGGAGCAAACAGGAUUAGAUACCCUGGUAGUCCAUGCCGUAAACGAUGUCAACUAGCCGUUGGGGGAUUUGAUCCUUUAGUGGCGCAGCUAACGCGAUAAGUUGACCGCCUGGGGAGUACGGUCGCAAGACUAAAACUUAAAGGAAUUGACGG